AGUGAACGCUGGCGGUAGGCCUAACACAUGCAAGUCGAACGGCAGCACGGUAAGAGCUUGCUCUUACGGGUGGCGAGUGGCGGACGGGUGAGGAAUACAUCGGAAUCUACUUUUUCGUGGGGGAUAACGUAGGGAAACUUACGCUAAUACCGCAUACGACCUACGGGUGAAAGCAGGGGAUCUUCGGACCUUGCGCGAUUGAAUGAGCCGAUGUCGGAUUAGCUGGUUGGCGGGGUAAAGGCCCACCAAGGCGACGAUCCGUAGCUGGUCUGAGAGGAUGAUCAGCCACACUGGAACUGAGACACGGUCCAGACUCCUACGGGAGGCAGCAGUGGGGAAUAUUGGACAAUGGGCGCAAGCCUGAUCCAGCCAUACCGCGUGGGUGAAGAAGGCCUUCGGGUUGUAAAGCCCUUUUGUUGGGAAAGAAAAGCAGCAGGUUAAUACCCCGCUGUUCUGACGGUACCCAAAGAAUAAGCACCGGCUAACUUCGUG
rnacentral:rRNA from 1 species